GGCCUACUGGCGCAAUGGUAGCGCGUCAGAUUCCAGAUUUUCGGAAUGUCCUGAAGGUUAGCCGUUCAAAUCGGCUGUGGGUCA